rnacentral:rRNA from 1 species
UACAGAGGUCCCAAGCGUUGUUCGGAUUCACUGGGCGUAAAGGGUGCGUAGGUGGCCCGGUAAGUUCGGUGUGAAAGCUCGGAGCUUAACUCCGAAAUGGCAUUGAAUACUAUCUGGCUAGAGGGUCGGAGGGGAGACUGGAAUUCUCGGUGUAGCAGUGAAAUGCGUAGAUAUCGAGAGGAACACCAGUGGCGAAGGCGAGUCUCUGGACGACUCCUGACACUGAGGCACGAAAGCCAGGGGAGCAAACAGG